GACUUUCUAUUUUUUCCUAUAACAUAGGUAGAAACUGUCUGGUGUUCCUGGUUCUAUAAGUCCUAUAACAUAGGUAGAACCUGUCUGGUGCUCCUGUUUCUAGAAGUCCUAUAACAUAGGUAGAACCUGUCUGGUGUUCCUGUUUCUAGAAGUCCUAUAACAUAGGUAGAAACUGUCUGGUGGUCCUGUUUCUAGAAGUCCUAUAACAUAGGUAGAACCUGUCUGGUGGUCUUGUUUCUAGUAGUCCUAUAACAUAGGUAGAAACUG